rnacentral:rRNA from 1 species
UAAGGAAGGUGCAAGCAUUAAUCGGAAUUAUUGGGCGUAAAGGGCGCGUAGGCGGAUUUGUAAGUCAGAUGUGAAAUACCGAAGCUUAACUUCGGUGCUGCAUUUGAAACUACAAAUCUAGAGGGUUGACGGAGAAAACGGAAUUCCACGUGUAGCGGUGAAAUGCGUGGAUAUGUGGAAGAACACCGGUGGCGAAGGCGGUUUUCUAGUUAAUACCUGACGCUGAGGCGCGAAAGCAAGGGGAGCAAACAGG